UAGAAAGAGUGGUUCCUGGCACAUGCGUUGGUUCUGUAUGCUAUACACAGUUCUGACUGGGAGCAACUGGGGGAAAAGCAACUAUCAGGAAACAGAGCUAUGUAAAUUCCUCAACUACGCUAAAAAGAGAUAA
rnacentral:lncRNA from 1 species